AGAGUUUGAUCCUGGCUCAGAGCGAACGCUGGCGGCAGGCUUAACACAUGCAAGUCGAGCGGGCGUAGCAAUACGUCAGCGGCAGACGGGUGAGUAACGCGUGGGAACGUACCUUUUGGUUCGGAACAACACAGGGAAACUUGUGCUAAUACCGGAUAAGCCCUUACGGGGAAAGAUUUAUCGCCGAAAGAUCGGCCCGCGUCUGAUUAGCUAGUUGGUGAGGUAACGGCUCACCAAGGCGACGAUCAGUAGCUGGUCUGAGAGGAUGAUCAGCCACAUUGGGACUGAGACACGGCCCAAACUCCUACGGGAGGCAGCAGUGGGGAAUAUUGGACAAUGGGCGCAAGCCUGAUCCAGCCAUGCCGCGUGAGUGAUGAAGGCCCUAGGGUUGUAAAGCUCUUUUGUGCGGGAAGAUAAUGAGC
rnacentral:rRNA from 1 species